GUCCAUAUAGUUUAUAAAAACAUCAGAUUGUGAUUCUGAAAAUAGAGUUACCUCUUGUGAACC
rnacentral:tRNA from 1 species